rnacentral:rRNA from 1 species
CGGUGAAUACGUUCCCAGACCUUGUACACACCGCCCGUCAAGCCAUGGAAGCUGGGUGUACCUAAAGUCGGUAACCGCAAGGAGCCGCCUAGGGUAAAACUAGUAACUGGGGCU